UUUGGUGGUCAUAGCGCAAGUGAAACACCCGGUCCCAUCCCGAACCCGGCAGUUAAGCACUGUUGCGCCGAUGGUACUGCGUCUUAAGGCGUGGGAGAGUAGGUCACUGCCAGAC
rnacentral:rRNA from 1 species